rnacentral:rRNA from 1 species
UACGGAGGAUGCAAGCGUUAUCCGGAAUUAUUGGGCGUAAAGCGUCCGCAGGUGGUUGAACAAGUCUGCUGUCAAAGCGCGGAGCUUAACUCCGUACAGGCGGUGGAAACUGUUGAACUGGAGUACGGUAGGGGUAGCGGGAAUUCCCAGUGUAGCGGUGAAAUGCGUAGAGAUGUGGAGGAACACCUGUGGCGAAGGCGCCUUGCUGGCCGAUUUCUGACGCUGAGGCGCGAAAGCGUGGGGAGCAAACAGG